GGGCAAGUACCAGAGUGGCCAAAUGGGGCAGACUGUAAAUCUGCUGGUUAUACCUUCGGUGGUUCGAAUCCAUCCUUGCCCA
rnacentral:tRNA from 1 species